UGGAAAAUAUAUCAGAUUUGAAAGCAUGUGCCUGGUAAAAAAUGCAACAAAAUUAGCUGCACAAACCACGACAGCCUUGACGGUGCCCUCGAUGUGGUCGACGCCGGGGCGGAGCGGCCAUCACCAGCGCCUGCGCCGCCACCUGCUGUACGAACUAGAGGUGCUAGCUCCGAAUGAGGAAGAGACCACGGCGUCAGUUGCCUGUAGGCCCAAACGAGGUCGGAACAAGGUGCCCAAGGGUCGGUCUCUUAUUACCGAGCUCAAUGAAUUAGGUGAGCCCGUCGCUCCUGUCAAGGUGAUGGAGCUAAGUACACAAUCUAGGUGUAAUACAUAGAUCAUAUCAUUCUUAUCAAACAUUACAAUACAUUUGGUGUAUGGACUUCGUUCUUAUCAAACAUUACAAUAUAUUUGGUGUAUGGACUCUUUAUUUUAAUAUCGAUGUAUUGACUCUUCGUUUGAAUUUUGAUGUAUGGACUCUUUCGUUUAAUCAUGAAGUAUGGACUUCCAUUUAAUCUUGAUGUA